ensembl:lncRNA
GAGUCACUAUCUAGGCCAGCAGAGAUGGGGGUGAAGAAAGAAAUACCCCUUCCAACUUCUGUGUUGCUUCUAUGGCACAUACCUGUGUAAAAAACAGGUAUAGUAAGGAUCUGUACUAUCUCCUCUCCAGCUGAGACUGAGUUGGGGAUGGCAGGAGACCUCCACGCUUAAGUAACAUCUGUAUCUUUGGCUAUUUUUGACCAGCCUUUGUACAGUGCAGAGAUAUAAUCAGUUUUGCAUGCCACUGACACUCCUGUGAUGGACAGUCUAUCAUCAUCUCCCACAGAAAUGGCCUAUUUCCUCGUCACUCACCCUGAAGAUAAGAGAGGACUCGCACAGUACAGGGUCACAGAAUAUAAGUGAGAACAGAAACCAGUAGGAGAUUGAGAGUCCAAACACUUCCUCCAUGCAUUCUUAGGAGAAAUAGAUCAAAAUUAAUUCUCAUUGGACCUUAAAACCAAGAAAUAAGUAAAGAUGUGUGAUCAAUUCCACUCCCAGCACAAGAGAUCAGGCAGGAAACUGGCAUCAUGGGCAGCAAGGAGAAGAGAUAUAAGCAUCUGUGGGCAACAGGCUUCUUGAUGAAUGUAGAUGAUCACGUCUGUUCACAGCUUAAGUUUUCUGCCUCCAACAAACUGCUGGCUACCAUCUGAUGGCAAAAUAAACCCAGAUUAUGUGCAUCAGCUCCACUGGCUGCUCUAAUAGCAAAGCAUUUGUAUAUCUGGGUGCUUGAGCCACUCUGAAAUAUUGAAGUUUAAGAUUCAAAUCCUUCUUAUGAAAGGGGAUAUGGUGUAAUCCACUUUUCAUUCAGUGGCUUUUGAAUUUCUAGACUGAGAAAAUAUCCUUAAGACUGUUGUACAGUUUAAAAUUACUGUGUGUUGGCUGCAAAACUCUGCAUGGCAUCCCACAUUUAUUUCCCUGCAUUUGGCACACACUGGAAAAGCUGGAGUUUGAGAAGUACUGUUCAGAUUUCAGUAAUCUAUAUAUAAGAACAUCUCAAGAAACUAUACAAAGAGCUACCAUAGGGUAUUUUUUGUCUACUACCUAGAAUAUAAUUAAGUUAGUUUGCCUAAUGUAUUAUAAACCCCAGUUGCCUGCUACUUAUCACCUUAUUUUGCUGUAGCUGCUUACACAACAACUGCUUUAUUAAUUCCUCUAGCUAUUUGUUAGCAAUUGACAUAGAGUUCUUCAUGUUCUUGUUCCCCAUCCUCCAUUACCUGUAUAGAGAGGAAGUAUUCUCUUUUCUUGAAAGGAAAAGUUGCUUCAUGUUCUUUCCCAACAGACAACCUUUAAAGCCACAUUUCUCUUUCAGGAAUGCUUGCCAGUAGUCUCCAGCAGUUCUGAUUAUUCAACUGAUUACCUACUCUACAUUUUAUUGUACUACCUUGAGUGGAAGUCUAUAUACACAUUUUCUAUGGCUUCAUGUUAAAACUGUUGUUUCAUCGAUUUGUUUUGUGAUUUUUCUUGUUGUUUUCUAGCUGCUACUGGGUAAGGCUUUCUAUAGGUAUUAGCAUUUUUACUGCAAAGUGUUUCAAUCUUAUAAUAAAGUAGAAUACUCUGCACGUAUUUCCUGC